rnacentral:sRNA from 1 species
CUGGCAGAUUUGGAAUAGGCUGUCUCUUGAUUGUAUUGCUUGAUCCGUUUACGUAUUCUGUUAGUCAGCUGAUUGAUACGUUUGCGAGUCAAGAUGAAGGUUUUGCGGUCCGUACACUGUGUGCUGGUUACUUGAGGCUUGCGAGGCCAAUUCAGCUGCAAUGUAGAUGUUUCUUUCAAGGAUAGCCACUGCAUCGUCUAUGUCGUCGCCGUUGUGAAGUUCAGUCUCCAGAUGAAUUCGCUGUUCAAGGUCUCAGGAGGAGUCUAAUGAUUUGCAUGUUGUGGUCUGAACCUAAAUCAUAUGAUGUUUCGAUGUGAAUUAAAUUGUGUCUAAUACCCUUAUAAA